CAGAGGUGUAAGGAAUGGAUCUGGUAUAUCCUUGUUCACUGCAUAUACUAAGAACAAUCAGGUCACGGGACUGUCCAUUUCCCAAUCUCCCUCAGAAGUGGUGACGUGUAUGCCUGCCUUAAUUGCAGUUAGAAGUGGAGGGCGUUUCUUGAUGCACUGAAAGGAUUGCGCAACAGCUCAUCUGAACGAGGCAAGUAAACCCACAGCCGCCAUGAUGUGAGGAAGCCCAGGCUAUAUGGAGAUGUUUCAGUCGACAACUCCAGCUGAGGUCCCACCUGACAACCAGCAUCAACUGCCAAAUAUGCGAGUGAGCAAGGUGUCAAGAUGAGUCCAACCGCAGUCACUAUCUGACUGCAACGCCAUGAAAGACUCUAAGCAAGAAAUAGCUAGCGGAGCCCAGUCAACCUCCAGAAGAGCAAAAGAGAAUAAGGAGAACUCCAGUCUAAGCAUGAGACAAACAUCAGUCAAACCCAUAAUGGGAGACACUCUACAGGACUCCUGACUAGUACUUGUCAAGACUGUCAAGGUCAUAAGAAACAAGGAAAGGCUGAGAAAUGGUCACAGACCAGAAGAGACUGGAGAGACAUGACAACCAAAUGCAAGGUGGUACCUGGACCAAAUCCUGGAACAGAAAAAGGGCAUGACAAGGGACAGCAGUGGGAAAAGUGGUGAAAUUCGAAUCGAGCCUGGAGUUGAGGUAAUAGCACUGUACCAGUGUCAGUUUCCUAGCCUUGACAAAGGUGCCCUGCUAAUGUAAGAUGCUGACAACGGGUGACAAUGGGUGAGGGAUUUGUGGGAACUCUCUGUAUUACCCUUGCUACAGUCCCAUAAACCUGAA
rnacentral:lncRNA from 10 species